UGAGUAACCUGCCCUUAACUCUGGGAUAAGCCUGGGAAACUGGGUCUAAUACCGGAUAUGACUCCUCAUCGCAUGGGUGGGGGGUGGAAAGCUUUAUUGUUGGUUUUGGAUGGACUCGCGGCCUAUCAGCUUGUUGGUGAGGUAAUGGCUCACCAAGGCGACGACGGGUAGCCGGCCUGAGGAGGGUGAUCGGCCACAUUGGAACUGAGACACGGUCCAGACUCCGUACGGGAGCAG
rnacentral:rRNA from 1 species